AGAGUUGAUCCUGGCUCAGGAUGAAUGCUGGCGGCGUGCCUAAUACAUGCAAGUCGAGCGGUAAGGCCCUUCGGGGUACACGAGCGGCGGACGGCUGAGUAACGCGUGGGAACAUGCCCCAAAGUGAGGGAUAACGCACCGAAAGGUGUGCUAAUACCGCAUAUGGUCUUCGGAUUAAAGGAUUUAUCCGCUUUGGGAGUGGCCCGCGUACGAUUAGAUUGUUGGUGAGGUAACGGCUCACCAAGUCGACGAUCGUUAACUGGUCUGAGAGGAUGAUCAGUCAGACUGGAACUGAGACACGGUCCAGACUCCUACGGGAGGCAGCAGUAAGGAAUCUUCCACAAUGGGCGAAAGCCUGAUGGAGCAACGCCGCGUGCAGGAUGAAGGCCCUCGGGUCGUAAACUGCUUUUAUGAGUGAAGAAUAUGACGGUAACUCAUGAAUAAGCACCGGCUAACUACGUG
rnacentral:rRNA from 1 species